GCAGCACUUGGUCAUGGCGGGGAUGCCCAAAUCUAGCUGGGGAAGGAAGGGAGAGGAGCGUCCCUUGGACUCAAACAGCUGCAACUGGGAGAGAUUUUACAGGGCCCCGCUGGCUCCUUCACCCAAACCAGAGAUACACUCGUGAGACCAAGGAUAAAUACAGCAUGGAUCGGGGAGGUUCUGCUCCCUUGGAGGCUAGCAACAAAUAAGAGAGCAAAAUACCAUCCAGCUGUGAGAUGCCAACAGGCAGUUGUCUCCAACCCUACCGAAGAGCAGUACGCUUCAAGGAUCCAGCUGUCUGCAAGCCAAGACAAAGCUCUCCAGCUGACAUUCCCAGCAGGUAGUGGCUUUUUGUGGGGGAAGGUAUUUCUCAGGACGGCAGCUACUCUUGUUUCCACCCUUUUGUCCUUUUGAAUAGGUUCUGCUCCAGACACACUUUUCCAGUGCAGAAAGCAUUGUUAUUUUGAGCAGUGGGGCCGAGUUAAGGACAGACAGAGAGCACAGAUCAGUUGGUUACAGCACACCCCCAUUAUAGGAUUAGCUUUGCACCAAAACACAAGUCCAUUGAGGUACACAGACACAAGGUAACAUCUGAGUUCAGGACACGUUGCAUAUUGUGCUAUUUUGGUGGCUAUGCUACAGAGAGAAGGGAUUGUGCCUAUAAUGGGCUGACUCUUACAGCCCACAGCUCCCAGGCAACACAGGGAGAGGAGGGCAGCAGCCAGGUCUGGCUACAGCCUGGUUCCCUUUCUGGAAAGAGCCAAGAAUUGGGACUCAGAGUCAAAUGUUCUUGAGCUGAAGAAGGAAGCUGUGGCAGGUUCAAAAUCUAAGGUAGAUUUUACAGGAUGGGAUCAAUUUUUAAUGACUUGCUUAUACUAUGGAUGAUAAAUUGUGCUCCUGCAGCCAGUUAUGGGGUAAGGUGGCAAUUCGGAGUAGGAGUGAGGCUGCUUUGGUAUGUGGGGGUAACUGUUCCUAGAGAAAACCUUCAACAAGCUGAAGUUCCAGCUAUUAAAAUGCUUUACAAAGGUGACCAGAAAAAAUAAACAAGUCUUGGUGAGAAUUGUGAAAUCAGCAGAACUGCCCUCAAGAUGAGCCUCUGUAGGAAAGCUGCCUCCUCCUCUGAAAAACAAAGUUUAAUCAUUUGCAAAGUGAUCAGCUAGAUCAAGCCCAAGACACCACAGUUAACUUCUCUCCCACAUCUUGUUUGUAGCUGAGAGGAAAACAGAAACGAAGGCAAGGCACUAGCGAUAGGGCUCCCCGUUCUACGUGAGCAUUGACUCAGAGCCUGUUGUUAUUUAUUGCCUGCCCAUCCCACAGGCAGGUCUGUGCCGGGGCAGGGGCUGAGUGGGUCACGCUGGCUGUUUUGCUGCCUGUGUUUCACCGGGCACCUCUCGUGGGCUGCCCGAGGGGUGAUGCUGAUGUAUAGAAGCACGGCCCUGCUGAGAAAGCCCGUUCUCUGGGAGAUGUAUUUCAGGGCACUGCCUCAUUGGCAUUGCCUUAAAGGAGAGCUGAAGUCGAGUUUCGAAUGGGAAGUGAGUUUCCCUGAUGCAUUUUAAUAUUCCCAAGCUGUUGUGGCUGUGCCAAGAGGCUGGAAAACAGCCCGCUGGCUAGAGGAGAUUUGUGGCCCAUGCAGGAGGUCUGAGACACUGCAGUACUGGGGUAGGGUGGAGGGAAGAGAUCUCCAGGUGAACAGAUGCUCCUGAGGUCCCUUGCUGUGGUGGGAGGACCAGGUUGUUUCUCUGCUCUGGGCAGACACUGUCCUUCCUCACCACGGCCUGAGUGCUGUGGCAGAGGGCCUUGGAAGCUGUGCCUCACUUGAGGCUGUUGUUCCCCCUGAGAUGCCCAGAGAGAUUUUAUAAAGAGGAGGAGGCAUUUUCCUGCAAAUACUUGGGUAACCAUAACGUUCUGAGUUAAGGGAGCAAUCCAUCACCUUGUUUGUUCUCAGACCUCACCAGGUGCCGAUAAAUCGGGAGGAGAGGCUGGCAGCCAGACCAGCCAAGUGUUCGUGCUCAGCUGAAGAUGGAUGUGGCAAUUACAGGUGAGUCCUGACCUUUAUCGUGGCAAAAUAAGCUAUUAUCAGUAUCUCUGAAGUAGGAGAGUGGAAUGCACCAGUUUUGUUUCUUGGCUGGGAUAAAAGCCAUCAGGCCCUGCUUCAGCAGCAAGACAAUAAUGAUGGUUGGCAUUCGUUCUGGGCACGGGCAUCUGGUCUCAUUGGUUGGGAAUUGUCCCUGCAUCCCCUCUGCUUGCAGCUUGCAGUGUCUGUGCUAGCCACCAGCACAGACAAAUGGUCCUGGGAGGGUGCAGCGAGGCCCUGGGAGGCACGCAGGUAGCAUUUUAAGUUUCCUCCUUCAGCCAGUGAUUAAUGAGCUGUUCAGCAGAGGACAAGAACAGGGCUAAGAAGUGUGUGUUUGUUUUCCUUUCUAGGUGAAGAUUUCUCUGAUAAGAAGCAGGAUGCUCCUGGGGAGCAGGGAGGUGUUUGCACUGCUCUGUGGAGGUGCACAGAGAGCACAGGACCAGGGCAGGGAGACACCUGGCCUGAGAGCAGUGACUUCUCCAGGACUUGACAGUGGUGAGUCAAAAUGAGCUUCCUUCCCAAAAUGAGCUCUGAGUAUCAUCAGCCUUCCCUAAUUUCGCCUCGGGCACUCUGUAGCAUCUCUGUUUCUCCCGGUGCCCUCCCUGUGGGAUGAUCCAAACCCUUCCUUUUUGGUAAAUCUCUCAAAGUCCAAGGUGAGCAGUGGCUGCCUCAUUCCGCCUUGAGUACUAAAGGUUCCUCCGUGGUGACAGUGGGGCUCGUUUACCUUCCUGUUAUCUCCCCUCCUCCAACCCCUGCGAUUAGCCAACUCACGGCUGCUGAAUAACCACGCUCCGAAGGUUGCCGAGAUUACGGCCGCUGCCGACACCAACAGCCCCUUCGGAGCCAGGCCUGCACCAGCAGCUCGUCCUCCCCGCCAGGGCCUCUAACUGGGCGGCCGGGUCACCCCCACAGCCCGGCUGUAAGACCCGCGUCCUCUCCUCUUGUCCCAUUGCACCCAGCACAGACCAGUUGCUGCACAGGGGGAAGGCUGAGGGCUGGGUUUCUGCUGCUGGCACCAGCAGAGCAGUCGUGGUCUCUGCGGUGGCCUUCCCCUGCCACCCAGGGUUGGGUCAUGGGGGGCCUCGGGAAGGAGAGCUGCUGUGAGUUCCCACACAGGAGGGAAGGAGGGAGGACAGGGCAGGGAGAGGGCAGCCAGGAAGAGCUGGCUGGGGAUGUAGGAGCCAGCAGCACCGCUCUGAGGGCCUCAGCACCAGAUUAGGAAAGUAACAGAGCAGGUAACACCAGGACAGUGCUAAAUGCCUUGCCAAGCCAUUUUACUGGCAGCCCUCCUACCAUCCCCUAAUGGGCAGUGCCUGUCGUAGCAAAGCAGUCAGCAGCCCCACGUCCCCAGCACGGACGCCCUUC